rnacentral:rRNA from 1 species
GUGAUGGACUGCCUUUUGCAUAAUGAGCCUGCGAGUUGUGGUGUCUGGCAAGGUUAAGCAAACGCGAAGCCGUAGCGAAAGCGAGUCUGAAUAGGGCGCUUAGUCAGAUGCUGCAGACCCGAAACGAAGUGAUCUAUCCAUGAGCAAGUUGAAGCUAGUGUAAGAACUAGUGGAGGACUGAACCCAUAGGCGUUGAAAAGCCCCGGGAUGACUUGUGGAUAGGGGUGAAAGGCCAAUCAAACUUCGUGAUAGCUGGUUCUCUCCGAAAUAUAUUUAGGUAUAGCGUUGUGUCGUAAUAUAAGGGGGUAGAGCACUGAAUGGGCUAGGGCAUACACCAAUGUACCAAACCCUAUCAAACUCCGAAUACCUUAUAUGUAAUCACAGCAGUCAGGCGGCGAGUGAUAAAAUCCGUCGUCAAGAGGGAAACAACCCAGACUAUCAGCUAAGGUCCCCAAGUCUUACUUAAGUGGAAAACGAUGUGAAGUUACUUAAACAACCAGGAGGUUGGCUUAGAAGCAGCCAUCCUUUAAAGAAAGCGUAAUAGCUCACUGGUCUAGUGAUUUUGCGCGGAAAAUAUAACGGGGCUAAAGUAAGCACCGAAGCUAUAGACUUAGUUUUACUAAGUGGUAGGAGAGCGUUCUAUUUGCGCCGAAGGUAUACCGGUAAGGAGUGCUGGAGCGAAUAGAAGUGAGCAUGCAGGCAUGAGUAGCGAUAAUUAAUGUGAGAAUCAUUAACGCCGUAAACCCAAGGUUUCCUACGCGAUGCUCGUCAUCGUAGGGUUAGUCGGGUCCUAAGUCGAGUCCGAAAGGGGUAGACGAUGGCAAAUUGGUUAAUAUUCCAAUACCAACAUUAGUGUGCGAUGGAAGGACGCUUAGGGCUAAGGGGGCUAGCGGAUGGAAGUGCUAGUCUAAGGUCGUAGGAGGUUAUACAGGCAAAUCCGUAUAACAAUACUCCGAGAACUGAAAGGCUUUUUGAAGUCUUCGGAUGGAUAGAAGAACCCCUGAUGCCGUCGAGCCAAGAAAAGUUUCUAAGUUUAGCUAAUGUUGCCCGUACCGUAAACCGACACAGGUGGGUGGGAUGAGUAUUCUAAGGCGCGUGGAAGAACUCUCUUUAAGGAACUCUGCAAAAUAGCACCGUAUCUUCGGUAUAAGGUGUGGUUAGCUUUGUAUUAGGAUUUACUCCGAAAGCAAGGAAACUUACAACAAAGAGUCCCUCCCGACUGUUUACCAAAAACACAGCACUCUGCUAACUCGUAAGAGGAUGUAUAGGGUGUGACGCCUGCCCGGUGCUCGAAGGUUAAUUGAUGGGGUUAGCAUUAGCGAAGCUCUUGAUCGAAGCCCGAGUAAACGGCGGCCGUAACUAUAACGGUCCUAAGGUAGCGAAAUUCCUUGUCGGUUAAAUACCGACCUGCAUGAAUGGCGUAACGAGAUGGGAGCUGUCUCAAAGAGGGAUCCAGUGAAAUUGUAGUGGAGGUGAAAAUUCCUCCUACCCGCGGCAAGACGGAAAGACCCCGUGGACCUUUACUACAGCUUGACACUGCUACUUGGAUAAGAAUGUGCAGGAUAGGUGGGAGGCUUUGAGUAUAUGACGCCAGUUGUAUAUGAGCCAUUGUUGAGAUACCACUCUUUCUUAUUUGGGUAGCUAACCAGCUUGAGUUAUCCUCAAGUGGGACAAUGUCUGGUGGGUAGUUUGACUGGGGCGGUCGCCUCCCAAAUAAUAACGGAGGCUUACAAAGGUUGGCUCAGAACGGUUGGAAAUCGUUCGUAGAGUAUAAAGGUAUAAGCCAGCUUAACUGCAAGACAUACAAGUCAAGCAGAGACGAAAGUCGGUCUUAGUGAUCCGGUGGUUCUGUGUGGAAGGGCCAUCGCUCAAAGGAUAAAAGGUACCCCGGGGAUAACAGGCUGAUCUCCCCCAAGAGCUCACAUCGACGGGGAGGUUUGGCACCUCGAUGUCGGCUCAUCGCAUCCUGGGGCUGGAGCAGGUCCCAAGGGU